UUAAUUAUUUAUGCUUGCAUGUUCACAUAAGAACUCAUCAGAACUCUGCAGUUAAGCGUGCUUGGGCUAGAGUAGUACUGGGAUGGGUGACCUCCCGGGAAGUCCUAGUGUUGCACCCU
rnacentral:rRNA from 1 species